CCCUGUGUACAGAUGUGGCCCUGAGGGAAGGGCCCGAGCAGGCACCGGGCUAAGGAUGGAGGUCGCAAUCGCCCGCUUGACUAACCAUAGAUAGAACCAAAAGUGGCUCCUGGAAGCCCAAACCCCAUUCAGCUCCAAAGCCCGCAAGCGUCCUCGGCACUCUCGCAACUUAGAUACGGCCCGCCACGCGGCCCGGGUGCCCCAGCAAACUCGCAGGCCUCCGGAAGGCGGGGCGGCGACGCGACCACACAAAGGCUGCGUCAUCAGCAAGGAACAAAAACCUCGCUCAGGUUCUCUGCAAUCCGCCCGCCCGGCCCCGAGAGUGACCUUGGGCGACCCCCAACCCUCGCCGAGCCUCAGUUUCCCUUCCUACUUGGCGAAAGAGGUUCUCCGGCCAGGCCGCGGGUUGGCGAGCGGAUACCCCCACACAAGACAUUUCCCUACUUCCGACGACGGCGCCGCUCCAUGUUCCGACAACCGCGUGCUCUCCGGGAAAGAGGCGGCAGAGGGCCCAAGCCGGAGAAGCGCGGUUCUGCGAGAGGCGGGCGGCCACCAACCCCAGUGCGGGCCGAGAGGCCGCCCGCGCUCCACGCCCGCACCGCCCUGCCCCGCCGCUUCCAUGCUGCGGAGCCCAGCCUUACUUGGAGCUGGGGUUUGCUGCCAGACGCCUCGGCUGAUGAGCUCGGGCAAGGACGUACCGACUCCAGCCGCCGCUGAGGAGACCCGUUCAAGCAAGCCUCCACCGCCUCACGAAGACCCACUUCCGCUCGUCCGGCACCGGCCCGCCCUUCUCAGCCCUUAUUGGCCUCUCCCGCCUUUUCUCCCGUGCUCUACCGGUUUAGGAGGAUAAAUUGCAAUUUUAUUGGGUGAGAAAACCAUCUAUUACCACUUUGAAAUACACCUUCUUCCGGUCACGCCCCCCGCCUGCUUGCGGGAGCUUCCACUUCCCGCGAGAGUGCCGCCAGUCGCGCUCCUCCCACGAGAACUUGGCGGUGUCGUUGCUGAGGCGCGUCGCGAGCUUGCCCGCUGGGUGUUUGACUUUUCGUUUGGCUUCUGACCUGGUAUACGGUGGCCCUUACGGCUGCAUCUAGCCCUAAACCAUAAUCCGUACCCUUCUCCGUCUCCUCGGUCGUUAAUGAGGCGUACCAGAGACUCGCCCAAGGCCCCAAUUUUCUGCUGAUCCACAGGCAACCAGGCCGGGAUUCGCACCAUAAGUGCCAGGCUCUUAGGCAUGUCGGUCCCCGGACUCUCCCUCGCAGGAAUCCCAUCAUCUGGACAGGGGGCUCACCUAUACGUUUGGGAGGCCUACCUGGAGGAAGCUUGAGGACUAGACGAAAGAGAACGUCCAGUUAGACAUUGUGUGUGCUAAAGGCGGGGGAAGGUAGAGCUGGGCAUGCCCAGGAGUCUGCGGGUUAGCUGCCCAAGUGUGUCGGGGCAGAGGCGAGAAAGGCAGGACUCAGAACACAAGUCCCAUGGAAUGCAAAGAACGGCCUCGGGCAAGACCAGGGCCUGGAAUUGGGUCUUAGGACAUCUCAUGUUACAGAAUCUCUCUUACCUGAAUCUGAAAACCAGUAUAAUAACUUUAGGCAAGUCUCAGUCCAUUCACACCUAUUACAGGUUAUCCAUUUUACCUACUUCUGCCGGUUAAUAAGAAUGUGAGUGCUAACAGGUAAUACAAGUCCUGCUGCUCCUGGGCUAGGUGGAGGGAUGGGUUUAGCAACUGGAAAAUGAUCUAUCCAUAGAUAAAUAGCAACUAGAAAGAAAUAGAUGAGGACCCUCAGACUACUUGAGCAGAUGAUUUGAAGGUUAUCCUAAAUGUGGUUGAAUUGCUUCUGUGGGGAUAUAGAUCCUGGAAGAUUGAUUAACAUGGCGAAGCAGAUCAAAACCCGACCGUUAAUAUUUUCCAUAUUACAAUCUCUGACGUUUUAUGGAAUUAUAAGAGAACUUAGGAUAAAGUGUGUAUGAUAAAUACAUACCUGACUCCAGUGUAAAAUGUGUUUUGAUGUUUUGGGCAUGCUUUCCAAAUGUUAUAAAUAGGAAUAAAGAGAACUUACAUUUG
rnacentral:lncRNA from 1 species